rnacentral:rRNA from 1 species
AUACGGAGGGUGCAAGCGUUAUCCGGAUUCAUUGGGUUUAAAGGGUACGCAGGCGGAUAGAUAAGUUAGUGGUGAAAUCCCGAAGCUCAACUUCGGAACUGCCAUUAAAACUGUCUAUCUUGAAUUUGGUUGAAGUGGGCGGAAUAUGACAUGUAGCGGUGAAAUGCAUAGAUAUGUCAUGGAACACCGAUAGUGAAGACAGCUCACUAAGCCAAUAUUGACGCUGAGGUACGAAAGCAUGGGUAGCGAACAGGAUUAGAAACCCGGGUAGUCC